rnacentral:rRNA from 1 species
AUGCGGAUGGGAUUCCUACGGCAGCUAAUCAGCCGAUUCCCACUGAUUGAAGCGGUGGACGACACUGAAUGCAUGCGAGAUCCGCUGCGGCGAAUGGCUGCCUUGACGGUUGCUGGUGUGGAUCAGGUGCCGGCUCCCGCCGCGAGUGCAGACGCACAGAUCUGCUCGAGCGUGGUGUCGUUGGCAGAAGGAAGAACUCGUCGCCGCCCUCGCAGGUCUCCACGGGGAGGCCAGCCCACAAGCUCCUCGGUGGUUAAAGAGCCUAAGGAACUUUCUGCAGAACGGCUGCUUCUUCAGUGCCCAAGCUUGAAAGAUGUUCAUGUCUAUCGAUGUUGUUAUAUGUUGAUCGGAGCAAUCAGAAACGAGGUGAGCCGUGGAUCAGGUUCUCGAUUUCUGUCUGAUCUGUGGCUCAGAAAAGUCGAUGCUCCAUGGAUUCAAUGCAAGGUGAGUCUGCUAUUCCCCAACGCGGCCGUCAUUUUGGAACUUCAGAAGCAAGGGAGGGAGUGGAUGAACACACGACCGACAGCGAUGGAUUUCCUCCUGCGAUCAGGAGAUCCACUCUGA